GAAGGUGGCCUGUGAGGGUUGCUGGAGGUAUCAGAAGUGCGAAUGCUGACAUAAGUAACGAUAAAGCGGGUGAAAAGCCCGCUCGCCGGAAGACCAAGGGUUCCUGUCCAACGUUAAUCGGGGCAGGGUGAGUCGACCCCUAAGGCGAGGCCGAAAGGCGUAGUCGAUGGGAAACGGGUUAAUAUUCCCGUACUUGGUGUUACUGCGAAGGGGGGACGGAGAAGGCUAUGUUGGCCGGGCGACGGUUGUCCCGGUUUAAGCGUGUAGGUGUGUGUUCCAGGUAAAUCCGGUUCACUUUAACACUGAGGCGUGAUGACGAGGCACUACGGUGCUGAAGCAACAAAUGCCCUGCUUCCAGGAAAAGCCUCUAAGCAUCAGGUAACAUCAAAUCGUACCCCAAACCGACACAGGUGGUCAGGUAGAGAAUACCAAGGCGCUUGAGAGAACUCGGGUGAAGGAACUAGGCAAAAUGGUGCCGUAACUUCGGGAGAAGGCACGCUGACAUGUAGGUGAAGUGAUUUACUC
rnacentral:rRNA from 1 species